UACGUAGGGAGCAAGCGUUGUUCGGAUUUACUGGGCGUAAAGGGCGCGUAGGCGGCGCGGUAAGUCACUUGUGAAAUCUCUGAGCUUAACUCAGAACGGCCAAGUGAUACUGCAGUGCUAGAGUGCAGAAGGGGCAAUCGGAAUUCUUGGUGUAGCGGUGAAAUGCGUAGAUAUCAGGAAGAACACCUAUGGCGAAGGCAGCUCUCUGGGACGGUACUGACGCUGAGACGCGAAAGCGUGGGGAGCGAACAGG
rnacentral:rRNA from 1 species